rnacentral:rRNA from 1 species
GACGAACGCUGGCGGCGUGCCUAAUACAUGCAAGUCGAACGCACUCUCGUUUAGAUUGAAGGAGCUUGCUCCUGAUUGAUAAACAUUUGAGUGAGUGGCGGACGGGUGAGUGACACGUGGGUAACCUGCCCUAAAGUGGGGGAUAACAUUUGGAAACAGAUGCUAAUACCGCAUAAAACCUAAACACCGCAUGGUGUAGGGUUGAAAGAUGGUUUCGGCUAUCACUUUAGGAUGGACCCGCGGUGCAUUAGUUAGUUGGUGAGGUAAAGGCUCACCAAGACCGUGAUGCAUAGCCGACCUGAGAGGGUAAUCGGCCACACUGGGACUGAGACACGGCCCAGACUCCUACGGGAGGCAGCAGUAGGGAAUCUUCCACAAUGGACGAAAGUCUGAUGGAGCAACGCCGCGUGAGUGAAGAAGGUUUCGGAUCGUAAAACUCUGUUGUUGGAGAAGAAUGUAUCUGAUAGUAACUGAUCAGGUAGUGACGGUAUCCAACCAGAAAGCC